GUCUAUGACCAUGCUACCCUGAACAAGCCCGAUCCUGUCUGAUCUUGGAAGCUAAGAAGGGUCGGGCCUGGGUAGUAUUGGUUGGGAGACCACUUAGGAAGACGAGGUGCUGUAGGCG
rnacentral:rRNA from 1 species